GAUGAACGCUGGCGGCGUGCCUAAUACAUGCAAGUCGAGCGAACAGACGAGGAGCUUGCUCCUCUGACGUUAGCGGCGGACGGGUGAGUAACACGUGGAUAACCUACCUAUAAGACUGGGAUAACUUCGGGAAACCGGAGCUAAUACCGGAUAAUAUAUUGAACCGCAUGGUUCAAUAGUGAAAGACGGUUUUGCUGUCACUUAUAGAUGGAUCCGGGCCGGAUUAGCUAGUUGGUAAGGUAACGGCCUACCAAGGCGACGAUGCGUAGCCGACCUGAGAGGAGGAUCAGCCACACUGGAACUGAGACACGGUCCAGACUCCUACGGGAGGCAGCAGUGGGGAAUAUUGGACAAUGGGCGAAAGCCUGAUCCAGCAAUGCCGCGUGUGUGAAGAAGGUCUUCGGAUUGUAAAGCACUUUAAGUUGGGAGGAAGGGCAGUAAGUUAAUACCUUGCUGUUUUGACGUUACCAACAGAAUAAGCACCGGCUAACUUCGUG
rnacentral:rRNA from 1 species